CUGAAUUAGGACAGUUUGUGGAGUGCUUUUGUCCUGUGAAUGUGUGUGAUGUGUAUUUGUGCCUUUGGGGCUUGCCGUAGAAAAUAUAUGUACAUGUCAGCUUCUGUGAGAAAAAAGACAUCCUUUCAGUAAACACAGACUGUUACUUUUUUGUUUUAUUAGUCAUUAAGUUUAGGUAAACUCUUGGUUUUAUAAUCACAGUGCAUUGCAUUCUGCCUUGCUCUUGUGUUUGCAGUAUGUGCCUUUGGGUUUGCAGAAGAAAAAUGUUUCGUCAGUUCUUCAGUGCAAAUCAGAGGUGAGAAGGAGCUCACUGGUCAGUGCUAAAAGGGUGUGAGAUCAUGGACCACUGACUGCCAAUAAUAAAUUCCAGCCUGCGGGAUGUUCUAAGAGGCCAUGAAGACAGUCAGCAGGAGACUAUUAAGAGCAUCAGCUGCGGCAUUCCACUGUCAUUCACAAAUCCACUCCUGUGGCCUGAUGGGAUAGUAAAGUGUCCAUUGGAUGCACACUGAGAUCAGCAUCUCACAGGAAUGACUCAGCAACAUCUGUGUGUUUUUAGAACACAGAAGAUCUCUUGAGAAAAACUCUGAGGAGGACACACCAGGCUAAUCGGCCCACAGAUGCCUUCGUAUUUCUGUACAUCACAAAGACCACAGCAGGGCUCCAGACAGCGACUAAAAUAUGCAACAAAAAUAACAAUGUAUGACAAAAGUUUUAAAUCAGGAGAGGUUUGAGUGCGUCCGUGUGCAGUUUUGUCUCGUUAUCUGGUAUGCACUCGCAGCAUAGAACAACGAACACAGAUAUCCAAAAGAUAUUAAAAAAAAAUGUCAAAAGAUAUCAAAAGAACAGUCAAAUUCACUCAUGAGUUAGUGAUUUCAAUCUGUGUCAGUAAAUCAUAUACAGUAUAUUGGACUUUAUGACUUACAUGGAUCUAGAGGUGAAGGACAAUGUUUAAUUGAAGAUGCAUGAAUAAUUCACAAUAGAGUUUUGUUGUGGUAAAUCAAUAAUGCUUUUUAAGCAUACAAAAAAUAUAAAAAAAUACAAAAAAAUUGUUUAUUUGUCAGCUAAAAAGUUUUUUUUAUGUAUCUGAUUCCUUUUAAAAACUUAAAACCACAUUUUAUUAGUGUUAAUGUACACCAUGAAUGUUUGUGUGCAGAACUUACCUCUCUCUCUCUCAAGUGUCACUUCAUUAUUGUGGAGGAGUGAGACAACGUCACAGUGCAUGAUUGUGUCUGUAUUACCUUCAUUAAUGAAUGCUCACAAAACAUUAAUGUGUAAUUGUGUUUUCUGACACCUCCAUCCUCAGGAUGUUCUUACAGGUAUGUCUAAGUGUUAAUUGCAAAACAAACCGAACAAAACAAUAUCUCAUGACCACAGGCAUCAGACAUGGAAGUGCGAGCUAAAAAUGAACUUGUCAGAUGCAAUGGGCGAUAAUCUUGUUUUGCCAAAGUUCUUAGGCAAUCUCUCAACAGUAAUGCGGUGUACAACUCUUAAAAAAAAGGUGCUUCACGAUGCCAUAGAAGAACCUUUUUGUCUAAAUGGUUCCAUAAAGAACCUUUACCAUCUGAAGAACCUUUCUGUUUCACAAAAGGUUCUUUGUGGUGAAAGAAUAUUCUUCAGAUUAUAAAAAGGUAAGAAAGAGAUGAUUCUUUAAAGGUCCUUUGACUGAAUGGUUCUUUAAGGAACCAAAAAUGGUUAUUCUAUGGCAUCGCUGUAAAGAACCUUUUAAGCACCUUUAUUUUUAAGAGUUUACUAACCAGCCACAACAACAUCAAUAAACAUUGUGUGUCUUGAUUUUAGUGGCAUUACAUUUGGUGGAUUCUUAAAAGACAGCCUUUUUGUUUCAUGGUCUCCGUUUGGCAUAUUUUGAAGUAUGCAUUAAGUGUACAGUAUCCUUCACAUCACUCACAAUCCUUUCCACAUUCCAGUUAAAAAGUCUGAACUCAACUUGUUUGAGUUUAUUAUAAAAAAA
ensembl:lncRNA